rnacentral:lncRNA from 1 species
CUGGAUUGUAAACAAACAGUAGGAGUUUCUUUCCACAGUGGAAGGGAGAAUAAUGAGAAGAAGGAUGCAGAAGAGAGGGGAAAGUUGAAAGUAGCUGAUAUGGGACCACAGAAUAUUGGCCAAUCAAUUGUAAUGACUAUACUUAUACCUAAACAAGUAAUAAAUAAAUGCAUUUGGCUUCCUUACCUUGAGUAUUGAAUCAACAUUUGAAAACAAAGUAAUCAACCUUUGGCAAUUUGUCCUUCAGAGAGAGAAAAACUCCCUUAGAAACCCAUAUUAAAAGAAACGUGCACAUGUAUCCCAGAACUUAAAGUAAAAUAAAAAAUAAAAGAAAAGAAAAGAAACAUGGGGAAAAAGGAGCAAGAGGAAGUUGAGAAGAAAAUUCAAGAAGGUGGUGCUACAAGGGCUUCUCAAUUUUGUACUUUUUCCUUUCAACAUUUUCUCUCCUGGACCCAAGAAACAUCAAAGGACUUUGUAUUCUCCAGUGAAUGAAGGAUAAAAAUUAGACAUGGAGACACUUGGUUUGGCAGAGCAGGCAUGGAAUCAUAGCAAUUGAUCUUUGGAACCCUGGUGAUCUCUGCGGUUGGCGUUAUAACUGUUUGAAGGCUUCCACCAUGUGGGGUGGCUGAGAACUGUUGUCCUGCAGCUGAGCCAGCACAGUUACACACUUUUGGUCCUUCCAUCUGAGCUGCUACACAGAGAGCAGGUUUUGGAGCAGGUUCUUACAACAUGAAGCCAUCAUGACUGAAGCUUGAUGCUCCAAACACAGACACAUUCUCACUUCCACAAAUGUUUAAGUAAAAAGAGAAUGUGCUGAAGGAGGAAAUUAUUGUCUUUUUGUUUCCUUCCUUUCAUUUUCUUUUCUUGAAAAAACACACCUCGUAUGGUGUUUUGACUUACAGAAAAUGAAAAACAAAGAUUAAUUCUGAAACUGCUAAUUGUGUAAAAAGCACGGAUUUUCAAAGAAACUAAAUGUUCUUUUAUUAGCAUGGAAAAACUUUUGAAGAGAAAGUAUCAACCAUUUUCCUUCGAAUAUUUUCCCCUAAUAAAACAGAUAUUUGGACAAGAUUCAUCAAAAUAUGUCUUUCCACCCCCAAAAUAUGUGUAUCUAUUAUGUAUCAAUUAAAAGUAAAAGUAAAAAAUAUAACUGUCAAAAAUCCCGCCAUAUCAUGCUGAUUUUUCAAUUUUCUAUAAGAUCAUAUUUUAAAUUAGUAUAAUUUCUAAUGUAGAAACACUUCCUUAUAAAACAGCAGAUUUUUAUUUUAGCUAAAAACAUUGAUUUCAGAUCAUGAUUAUCUGAACUGAUAGAGUUAACAGUAAAGAAGUAAUAUUUGCAUUUCUCAUAGGCCAAGGAAAAUAGAAUACAGUUGUAAAACUCUAUGGAUUAAAAACAUUUGCCCAUGGUUAACUAUUGCUAGAAAUCACAGUAUAAAACCUCAUCUCUGGCUUUUCCAGUGCUUCAUCACCAUAAGUCCUGAAUGUGGCAACCCAACCAUAAAAAAAUAAGAAGGUUCCUACCCCAAAAUAUUAUUCCUAACAAAUCUUUGAUUGGGGAUUAUCAAUUUAGACAGAGCGCAUGUUGGGUGGACAUCCAGCAUCUACUUAAAGGCACAUCGUAUCGCUCAAUAUUUUGGUGUGCACUUUCGACGUAACAAUUGGCAUUGAGGAGGUUUGUGCUCUGAAAGCAUUUCUCAUUACCCCACUCUACAGGGGUGAGAGAAGAAUGCGUGUGCCCAGUUGGCUUCUGAAACAAUAACCCCAAAUACAGCAUAGCUAUAGUUGAUAUCUUUGGGGAGUAACUAGCAUUAUUUUAUGAAAAUUAUUUAAUGUAUACCUGUAUAUUGACCUUUGUAAAAAGGAGAAAACAAUAUGGAGUCUGCAAGGGGAGGUUAUUUUUUAAUGCUACAGGAGUGAGAGAAGUUGGUCAAUUACCACUUACCGAAAAAUGAAAGAAUAACCUAUGGGUAGCAGCAUCGUGAUGAAGAGAAUAAAUCAAAAUGCUCUUAUUUAUUGGGGAGUUAUAACUAUCAGAGGGAUUGUGGAACAAAACACUCCUCAUCUCUACAUCCACCAUUCAAAUGCUUCCUCUGCUGUGUUAGCCCAUUGGGAAAUCACAGUUCUCUAUAAGUUGCAUUUUCCUCCUUAGCCAAGUAAACUUAUUAUGUGAUUACAUUGCCAUUUAAUCCCCCGUAAUUGUAGCAAUAUGUACAGCGGGGUAAGUCAGCAAAAAUUCUCCUCUGUCCAGGGAGGUGAAAGCCUUGUGGAAUCUGGGCAUUCCAGUACUUUGGAAGAGUAAGCUUCCAUUGCUCAAGAUGGUGACAUCACUUCCACCAAUGGCUGAGACUGAGGAAAAUGUGUGUUUCUUUUCUUAAGAGAUGACAAGUUAAGUAAAUCAUCCUAGGAAAAUGCUGAGCAGGUUAUUUGAUAUAUGCUAACUAGAUGGAUGCUUUAGUGAAGAAGCAAAGGUGCACAAGCGAUCUUGAGACUGAGAAAUGUUGCUUCCAACAAGCUUGUCUCUCAGUGGUCAAAAUAUGUUUUCACUCCCUGCUCUCUUCAUCUCCUUUACUCUGGAAAACUGAUAGGUGAAUCACUUUUGUUCAGCUAUGAUUAUUUUUACACCUCAAAACACAGCCUACAGGCUCACUUUUAGGUCAUAAUUUCACACAGAGACAACUUGUUCAAAAGGUGAAAAAAAAUUUAAAAAGCUCUCAAAGUCCUAGUAAAUAUUAAGCAGCAGAUAAGUCAGGUUCAAGUGAAAGCAAAGGAAACAUUAACCAUUUCUUGCUAGAAACAUACUGUAUAUUAUUUAGCUGCAUCUAAUCAACUUCAUUUGGUUCCUUAUUUUCACUUCAAGGUUCCUCAGGGCAGUGUACACAAUACAGUGUCUCCACCUUUGCAAAUAGCUUGAAAUCCAAAAAUGCAUUUGUAAAUCAGUGUUCGAAUUCAGAAUGUGUUUACUGUCGAGGAAAAAAAUAUAUGUGGGGGUUAGAUUUCUAGGCUACCCUAAGGCAUAUGAUGUCAUUUUAAUGUAUUAACAACAGUGAACAUUUAUAUUUGCAAUGAAAAUUGCAAAAUUCAAUAUUCUUAAAAUACUAAUACUUGU